AGAGGGACCGACGUCUUCGGAGAGCCUGCACAGGUGCUGCAUGGCUGUCGUCAGCUCGUGCCGUGAGGUGUCCGGUUAAGUCCGGUAACGAGCGCAACCCUCGCCAUAUGUUACAAGUGUCAUAUGGGACUGCCGAUAUAAAGUCGGAGGAAGGUGGGGAUGACGUCAAGUCAGCAUGGCCUUUAUGUCCGGGGCUACACACACGCUACAAUGGCCGGUACAAUAGGUAGCAAGACCGCGAGGUGGAGCCAAUCCUAAAAGCCGGUCUCAGUUCAGAUUGCAGGCUGCAACUCGCCUGCAUGAAGUCGGAGUUGCUAGUAACCGCGCGUCAGCAAUAGUGCGGUCGAAUACGUUCCCGGGCCUU
rnacentral:rRNA from 1 species